rnacentral:misc_RNA from 1 species
GAUGAAGAACGCAGCGAAAUGCGAUACGUAGUGUGAAUUGCAGAAUUCAGUGAAUCAUCGAAUCUUUGAACGCACAUUGCACCUCUCGGUAUUCCGGGAGGUAUGCCUGUUCGAGCGUCAUUUGUACCCUCAAGCUCUGCCUGGUGUUGGGUGUUUGUUCCGCCUCUGUGUGUGAACUCGCCUCAAAACAAUUGGCAGCCGGCGUACUUGUUUCGGAGCGCAGCACAUUUUGCGAUCCAGAUCAACGUACAGCGGCAUCCAAGAAGCCUUAUUUAACGCUCUUGACCUCGGAUCAGGUAGGGAUACCCGCUGAACUUAAGCAUAUCAAUAAGCGGAGGA